rnacentral:misc_RNA from 1 species
AAUUUGUCAGUGCAGGUUGCAUAAAGAAGCUACGCUUUUAAAUACUUAUUUCUCAAUACAUAUAUUAUUUUGUUUGUCUUUUCAAAGCAUAUACUGCACUAGAAACUGUCGGGCUGUCGAGAUAUACAGUGAUUCAUUCUCAUGGCAUUUGCGGUUGUCAAUAAACACUUACGCAGAGUUACCUCCCCUAACUCUUUCAUCGCGUGAUGGACAUGCCCGUGUGUGACUACCACCACCAGUAUUCGAUGAUACAUAAUGGCAAAGAAGCCGUGUAUUGAGGUCUGCGGAGUUUACUUACCUUCAGGGUGCUCGUAGAUAGCUUUGAAUAACAUCUCUAAAGCAAGAAUAUUGUGUAUGUGAGCUCGGAAGCUACACUGACACCAAGACAUUGAAAGUUCCCUUCAGUACGCACUGCCUGUUUCAAUAUGGACGCAUUUUUGAGGGCCGUUCGAAAGAGCCCGACAGUCUCAGGCAAAUCAAGACAUAAAAAGCUUGGCGAAGGAUGGGGAGAGUCGGAGAACAAUGAGGUUGUGGAUCAGGGUGUGACGUUCUACAUGAAGUACCUGGGCUCUAUACUAGUGGAGGAACUGCCUGAUGAUGAGAGCUACGGAGAUGGCAUCAGUUCACGGGCUGUCCAAACUAUUGUUGCUAUGGCUAAGAGUGCUGGCAAGAAGCUGAAGAAAGUGUCUCUAACUGUCUCCCCUACAGGGAUCCGAAUGACCGACCUACUGACCAAAGAGGUCUCCAUUGACAUGUCUAUAUACAGAAUCUCCUUCUGCACAGCUGACAAAAACCAUGAGAAGGUGUUUGCUUUCAUCGCCAGGAACUCCAUCAAUGAGACAAUGGAAUGCCAUGCUUAUUUCUGCGCCAAAAGGAAAUUGGCACAGGCGGUCACUCUGACAGUGUCGCAGGCCUUCGGUCUGGCCCAGGAUAAGUGGGAGAACAAGCAGAAUACGAAGACCCAGAAGGAUAUAGCCAACCACCAGAAGAUAACGAAACAGGAUAAUUUUACGAGGAGUCACGAUGUCAUAAAGCCGCUGGCAGGUCACACCGGGUCAACAGCUGCAAACUACGACCCUUUCCUAGCGAUCCCCGGCCCACCCCAGGUCCAGACACCAGGCAAUACCAACAAGCGACAGUGGCAAGAAUUUGGUGAUAGAGAGGAAGACUUGGAGGAUGAUUUCUCCAGACUUGCCCAGAACAGAGGUCGACGCCUGCAUUCUUUCAGCACCGACCUCUGCAAGGAAGAUGUAGAUGAGAGCGUCCAGCAGUAUAUGGACGGACAGAGGUGCUUCGAAGAAUUCUCACGACAAAAAUCUAUUGAAGAUUUGCUGAAUUUAUGACAAGGACGGGGACCGUAGUUAGUUUGAGUCAGUUUUUGCAGUUUUUUAAAUUGUGACAAAUCUUUACUAAAUCACAUUUAAAUGACUUUUCCUGUUAGUCUUUCCUGUACAUAAUAUCAAGUUCACAAGUAAUUGUCAGAAAUUUAAAUCCAUCUCUGGCUGUCAUUUGUAAGAGACACAUGGAAGUGGACAUGCAGGAUGUCCUUGUCUAAAGUGUUUGUACUUAAGUUGCCAUAGCAACAGCUGUCUAGAUGUUUAAUUGACAUCCUGUUUUUUGACAGAAGGAUACACACAGUGGCAACAGGCAUUUACAAUGGGGUCUAGAGUGUGUGUUUAUAUAUAAUGUUUCACUUAUGAUGUCGGUUGGUGACAGCUUGGCAGUUGUAUCCUUUCAAGGUGCAAGAAAUUCUCUGUAUUCAGAAACCUACACUUCCCUUAAGGUCAGAUUUCCCGAGAGUAUAAUACAGGAACGACAAUGGUAGUUCGAUGACAUCACUGCAGUCCGAGAGUUUCAAAGCAAAUCUCUACAUGUGUCUAUGUAAGUUGACUGAUUUUCAUUAGAACUGUGCGGGGUGGUGGGGUAGCCAAGUGGUUUAAGCAUUCACUCAUCACAUCCAAGACCCGGGUUUGAUUCCCAACAUGGGUACAAUGUGUGAAGCCCAUUUCUGGUGUCCCCUGCCGUGAUAUUGCUGGCAUAUUGCUAAAAGCGCAGUAAAACCAAACUCACAUAUUCGAAACUGCUGACCAGUCCUAUAUUAAACAUAGCAAGUGCUGUUAAUAAUA